UUAAAAUGUCAACAUCAUUUACAGAUCUCCAAAGGAGGGGUAAAACAUGUAGUAUUCCUUAAUCUUAUUUGAUUCUGGAGCUAAGUUUUCUCCAGAGUAUCUCCAUGAGAUUAGUCCAAGUUAUAGACUUUGCAAACUACUCAUUUACAGAUUUCUCUGUUAUCUCAGAAUGGAUGACACAGAUGCCAAGUUAUCUUCAGCCCUGAUAUUUUACAGAGUCCUAGAAUCAAAUAUUCGAUUCCUCCUGGGUAUCUCCAGAUGAUCGUCCCACAAAUACCUUACACUCAGUGCAGUGAGACAGAGAUGAGAAUGAGAAUCUGCCAAGCACUAGGAAACAAUAUUAAAUGAGCACCUUGAGGAAAUGGCAAAGUAGUUUCUACUUUAUCAGAAUUUCCAAUUCCAGUCAUCCAUUGCUGUGUGAAGAUGUGCCCUAGGAAGCCCUAUAUAGAGGUCCACAUAGUAAGGAACUGAAGCCUCCUGCCAACGCCCCAGGAGUAAACUUGGAUGCAGAUUCUCCAGCCUCAAUGAAAUCUUCAGAGAGACUGCAUAUAGCCUCAGUGGUAACUUGAUUACAGCCUCAUGAAGAA